CAGAGACUUAGCGGCCGCCCCAGAUCUAGCCCAAAUCACCAUCUGCUCCAACCCUAGCCGCCGCCAACACGAGACGACGCCGAGCACCCACCACUGCCCGACCCCAGCCGCCCUUGACCACCCAUCGCAGCAGCUGUCCUCUCGGACCACCGCCGCCGCCGAGCACCCUCCUCCGUCGCCGUCAAGUACCCUCCUACGCAGAUCUCGUUCGCCCUCCGCCCAUCCCCAGCGCCGCCCAGAUGUCGCCUCUCCUUCCAUGCUUUCUCCCCGGGCGGCACCGUCUCUCCUAGGGUUUGCGCCACCGACCAUCAUGCUCUCCAGCCUAUCGUCCUUCGUCCGUGCUCCUCCGACCUCCCCCUUUUGUACUUCGAGCGCAAGCAGAGCACUCUGAUGGAAGAAGUCAGCCUCAGUCAGUGCAAACUAUGGCUCUAGAAAUAGUUGCCGCUUUGUUUUACUGAAUGAACCAUCUUUUGGUGGUGCUUGAGUCAUGGGCAUAGAUGCAUCUAACCAAAUAAUGCUUGCUUCUGGGAAGGCACCUAGUGUAGGUGGAGAACAUGUUCUAAGAAAGCGGCUCCAAAAAGAUUUUUCUGCUUCUGCUAUGGGACCUUGCAUGUGGGAUGAUGAGGGCAAUCAAAGCAGGUUUUCCAAAGAUACACAAGUUGAUGGAGGAUUGCAAGAUCUACAUACAAGCGGUUGACGGUUUGGAAGUUCUACAGCGGCUGAAGGUUUGGAGGACAUACAAUUAAGUUGGUGUAGUGAUAAUGUAGUGCACCUAGUUUGUUGAACCUGGAGACAUUGGCAAGUUCUGCUUAUUUUGGUGGUUGUUUUGGUACACAAGCCACUGGAUUCUCAUUUUGGUUGUGUGGCACAUUUAGAAACAUACGUACUAUUUUGUGCCAGCACAAGUCCUUAUGUAUGGUUGUUUCCUAUAUGUAUGUAUCCAGAAACAUAUGUAUCUGGCAUGUUAUGUUUAUAUUGAAGGAAAUUUAAGGUUUUUGAUGA